GGACUACCAGGGUAUCUAAUCCUGUUUGAUCCCCGCACUUUCGAGCCUCAGCGUCAGUUACAGUUUCGUUAGCUGCCUUCGCAAUCGGUGUUCUAUGACAUCUCUAUGUAUUUCACCACUACAUGUCAUAUUCCGCCAACGGCAACUGUACUCAAGUCCUGCAGUAUCAAUGGCAAUUUCUCGGUUAAGCCGAGAGAUUUCACCACUGACUUACAGGACCGCCUACGCUCCCUUUAAACCCAAUGAAUCCGGAUAACGCUUGCAUCCUUCGUCUUACCGCGGCUGCUGGCAC
rnacentral:rRNA from 1 species